CCUACGGGAGGCAGCAGUGAGGAAUAUUGGUCAAUGGACGAGAGUCUGAACCAGCAAAGUAGCGUGAGGGAUGAAUGCCCUAUGAGUUGAAAACUUCUUUUAUAUGGGAAUAAAAUGUUCCACGUGUGGGAUUUUGUAUGUACCAUAUGAAUCAGGAUCGGCUAACUCCGUGCCAGCAGCCGAGGUAAUACGGAGGGUCCGAGCGUUAUCCGGAUUGAUUUGGUUUAAAGGGAGCGUAGGUGGAUUGUUAAGUCAGUUGUGAAAGUUUGCGGCUCAACCGUAAAAGUGCAGUUGAAACUGGCAGUCUUGAGUACAGUAGAGGUGGGCGGAACUCGUGGUGUAGCGGUGAAAUGCUUAGAUA
rnacentral:rRNA from 1 species